ensembl:rRNA 5S_rRNA 5S ribosomal RNA
GUCUACGGCCAUACCACCCUGAAUGCGCCCGAUUUUGUCUGAUCUCGGAAGCUAAGCAAGGUUGGGCCUGGUUAGUACUUGGAUGGGAGACAGAUGUUAUUCUGUUGUCU